ensembl:snoRNA
CCCCCUUUAAAAGCACUCCGUGGGUCUUUUGCUAGUGACCCACUGAGCCGUCAAGAAGGGGCAGAGUAAAAGCGUCACGUUUGGGUGAAGUGGCAACAUGUGUUGUUUGCUUCAAUCAGUGUCGUGACAAGA